CGAUAUUCCUUUCUUGGUUUGUAGCUCUCCGUAAGUAGUGUGUGGGAUCUUUUCUGCAGAAUUCUUGGCCUGCUUGAGGAUGUUGCUCUACGGUAGCAUUUACCCAAUAUUCAGUGUUCAGUAACUCCAUUUUUAGGUUGAAGUAGCUAAACUAAACCAGUAAUUUUGGUAUAGAGAAUAUUUCUCUCAACUUGGUGAACUGAAGUCUGUGAUACAUUAGUUGUAAUAGCCUUAGGGGGGAAAGUUGACAUUGUAGGGAGACUUUAUGCCAAACUUUGAUCUCAAUUACACCCCCAAAACCUCACUGACUUCAGUGGUUUUACAUUCAGAGCAGAGGAUUUCUACCAGCAUUCUGUUGUUGCUUGUUUUAUUUUGACUUGCUCAGUUUUUCAUGCCAGCACUAUGAAAUGCAUUGUGGUAGUACAAAAAAUGUUGACAUUUCACCAUAGUUUUUAUCUCCUUACGCUGUGACUGUGCAUCUUGAUGUAGUUAAUUAUGUCAAAAUAAAAAAUGCUUAUUGAACACAAAGAAGACUUCUAUAAUAAUUCCUGAAUUCUUUCUUGCUGCAUUUAAUUUCAAUAGGUUUUACUAAAAGCUCUUUGUUUGAAUGAUCUCUUUCGGUACUUCUUGUUUGGGAACAACCAGCCUGCUCGGUACUUAAAAGCAGGCUCUGAAAUCUGAAUUACUUCUUUGUAUACUUUUAUUCUAUACAGUUACUUGCACAAAAGCUGUGAUAUUAAGAAAACUGAUUUUAGGAGUGGUUGCUGUAUAAUUUUUGCUUGAGGUUCUUAAUUUCACAGUUGACUAAAAUUACUGCUCUUUUCAAACCAGUAUUUCUCACACAUGGUUUCUGCUCAGAUAUAAUGGUGCAAAGUUUUGAGGUUUUAAUUAUUCUGAACUUGGAAGAUAUCAGGUGAUGGAUUCCAGUGAGACUUUGGUUAAUCUGCAGCUCUGACAUUCUUCCAACUUUGAAACCUUUAUGUAAGAACAGUGCUGCUUUUUUUUUCAGUAUAUGUUUUAGAAGUACACAGAUAAUAAUAGUGUAAAUGUUUUGUGUGGAGGUGCUGAGAAGAUGAUGGAAGUUCUGCCUUUAUGAUUAAUGGUCCUUACAUAUUUUCCACAUUUUUAGCAUGUUUCUCAGCAUCUAAGAAUGUGGGCUAGUGUUCUGCUUAUUGGAAGAAAUGACAGUGCAUGUGCGCUAUGUGUGCUGUUGUGAUAACUUUGAUUGUCAGGUUUAGUUAUCUGAAGUUUAAAUAUUUGCUAAUGUAGGUUAUUUUAGGGUUUUCUGGUGGAAAAAAUUCUUACUAUAUGUCUGCAGGAAAUGCAGGAGCCUCCUUUUACUUUUGAAGAAUUCUUAUAUUCUGAAGGUUUGGUGAGUCCAACUGCUUGUUGUUUUAACUACCCAUGUGUAUGGUGAAUUGGAGAAGCAGGAGGCAGGUCCUGAGCAAAGCCAUGUGAAUGUAAAUACUGAGAAUUGAGUUUGAGCGUAGAUUGUAUUUCCAGGACCCUCAGGCACUGGAAACUAAGAGGUUUGUAGAAAUGGCAAACCUUUAAGAGAGCAGCCUCUCUGUUAACUGCCUUUUUGUAAAAGCUAACCCAUGGAGGAAAAUUUCUGUCUGUUGUACAGUGAUUUUCUGCUGUUGUUAAAGUAUGCUUGAGUGAUGACACUGGAUCAAGCUGUUUUAAAAAUAUUUGGUCAGUCCACAGUAUUACUAACAUAACAGAAAGUCCUGAAUCCUGAGGCAAAAAGCUCUGAUGAGUAUGAAAAGGGGAGUAGCUAGUUUUGCUUUUUAAUGAGUUGCUUUCUUGUAUUGAUAAGGCUGCUGGGGAAAUCUUUUAAUAUGUGUUUCUUUUCUUAAAGAACUUGCUAUAAUGUGGUUACCAGUGGUUCAUUGAAAUGACAUACUUUUUAGAGAAAACAGAACUUUCCUUUUGACCUGCCUACAUUAUUUUAAAGUAUUGAUUCACUCAAAGCCUUUAACUACAGAGCUGUGAGAAAAAUUACUCUUUUGCUAUGAAGCAGAACUUCUUCUGUCACAGGAACAAAGAAAUAAAAAAUGAUAAAAAGAAUUUCAGUGGACAGAACAUUCCAUAAUAAGUUUUUUGUAUCUUUAAAACGUAUAUUUUUAGGAGGAGCAAUCUGACAUGAAAGUGGAGACAUUUUCAUUUGGCAUCAUGUCAAAACAAAAUAUUACUAUGUUUUAAUUCUAAUUGGUUUUACUCUCUUUUUACCCUAAUAUAAACGUUUGUGUAUUAAUAGUUUGCAUUUAAUUUAAUUUUAUAUUUUUAAGAAAUAAUUUGUCUUACUGCCCUGCUAUUAAGAAAGAACAUGUCAUUGUCUUUCAGCUCUACUAGAGGGUUUAAGAUCACAUUAAUUACUCUGUAUUAGCACUUGGUAAGUUAUUUUCCAAAAGUGAUGAGUUUGAUGAUUAACUUCAAAUGACUACCCUUGGUUUCAGCAAUUUGCUCAAAUAUUUAAGCUGUUGGUUUAAAUUCUUUGCUAGAUCAAGGAACAGAGUUUCCUCCUGUGUUUCCACUUCUGUUCUCAACAGAUGGAAGGCGUUACUGUCCUUUCUGAGAACUUAAAUUGCACAUGAUUUUAUUUGUCUCUUUAGAAACAUAAUAACUUUUUUUUUCCUUAUCUCCUUCUGUAACUAAAAAUUUACAGUCUUUUUAAUUACUCAGUGUCUGCUCUAAUGGGCCUCCCUUUCCUGUCCUAUUUCUGUUUUUCUGUCUUUUUGAGAUGAUGUAACCAGCUCUGAAUGCAGCACAUGGGAGAGGAGGAAAUUACAGUUGUUAUUAACAAUGUUGCCAAAAUUAGAGAGUCUUACAAGACACUGCUAUUGAGCAAAUUGGUGCAGAAGAAAUUCUGACUCAGACAAGUGAGAUGGGGAAAGCAGAGGCAUUGAUCUCUGCUGCUGUGACUCAUGGUAGCUUUCUCCUUGGGAAAGUCAGUUUGGGGCAGAAUCAGAACCCAUGGCACUGUGAAAGGCCAAGAUAAACCUAACCAAGAAGAUCAAGACCAAUUGUAUGACAGAAUUGGGGGUUUUGUGGCACAUUUUAUUCUUGUUCCCAGGGAUGCUGAAGAUACUUUUUUUUCAGGUAAUAGUAUGAUUAGCAUUUUCAGUGAUGUAUGGGUUAGAUUCAGCUCAUAAAAGUAUAAUGAUAUCGAAAAGAAAGUAUUGUAUUUUUAAGGUUAUACGUAGGCUUUGGUCCAGUCCAAUUAUUGCCUUAUUGCAGUGAGUCUGUUCUGUAGUAGCUCUUUUAGCUGUGAAAGUAUUUAACUAUUGUAGAAUUAGCCAGCAAGGAUAUAAUCAUACCCAGAGAUGUAACUUAUAAUUGAAAUUAUGAAUGCAGAUUUCAUUUCACAGCUUUCUUUGAGCUGCUGUGUAGGAGAAUUACUCUGGAAGAAUCUAUGGUAAGCACAUAAAUGCAGUCAGGAAGAAAGCCUUAAAAAUUCAAGCCCUAGGUAAAACUAUACUAAUUCCUGGAAAAGCUGCUGAA